CCUACGGGAGGCAGCAGUGAGGAAUAUUGGUCAAUGGUCGGGAGACUGAACCAGCCAAGCCGCGUGAGGGAUGAUGGUACAGAGUAUCGUAAACCUCUUUUGUCAGGGAACAAAGGCGGGGACGUGUCCCCGGAUGAGUGUACCUGAAGAAAAAGCAUCGGCUAACUCCGUGCCAGCAGCCGCGGUAAUACGGAGGAUGCGAGCGUUAUCCGGAUUUAUUGGGUUUAAAGGGUGCGCAGGCGGUCUGUUAAGUCAGCGGUAAAAGCCCGGGGCUCAACCCCGGCCCGCCGUUGAAACUGGCAGUCUCGAGUUGGAGAGAAGUAUGCGGAAUGCGCGGUGUAGCGGUGAAAUGCAUAGAUAUCGCGCAGAACUCCGAUUGCGAAGGCAGCAUGCCGGCUCCACACUGACGCUGAGGCACGAAAGCGUGGGUAUCGAACAGGAUUAGAUACCCUAGUAGUC
rnacentral:rRNA from 1 species